ensembl:lncRNA
GAGGAACAGGCAGAGGUGCAGGAGACCAGCCGAACUGUCAAGCAAGGGUGACACAGAGAAAGAAAUGCAGAAACAUCAUCCAUACUGGGAAAUAACCUGCCUUCCCCUUAGUCAUGAACCAGCUCGCAGCACUUUGUGCAAACCACCGGACUUCCCUAAGAGUUCCAAGCUUUCAGGAAUGUCUUCCGGAACUCCCACUUGGCCACACCCUCUGUGCACCAAGUUUCUCAGCCACUCAGAAUCCUCUCUGCUCUAUGUGUUUCCUGGGAUUUGUACCCAAAUCCUCUGGGUACAGAAGGAAAACCAAGACUGGGCUCCUUCUGCCUCACUUCAUCACACAUCCAACUUCCAGAGGGAAAGGAAGAAGGAGGUUUGAAGCCUACCAUUUCCUACACCGGUGUCUCAGAAUGAAAACUGAUCUGCACGCUGGUGAGAACACAACUGUGAAUCUCUGCUCUCAAAAGGUUCACCAUGCGACAUACUGACAUGACAUUUAUCUGCAUGUUUGUCUUCCUAGCUACAGAGGGAUUGGCUUGUAACAGGCGUUCUCCUUUGACAGACUGCUUAUGGGCCCUCUUGAUUUUCAUAAGCAGCCCUGGGAUCAAGGGGGCAAGCCUGAGACCCUUUGACCCACUUUGGAUCAAAACCACCCAGUGGAUCCAUCCAGCCUAGAGAAUACCAAAUUGUGUACAUGUAUCACAUAUAUGUAUAUAUCAUAUAUGCGUGCGUGCAUGUACACAUAUGAGCUAUCUGGGUCCUUUCAUAUUGAGGUCGGCUGGUUCUGACUGACUAUUGCUAAGUACUCGGGUUUUCAUGUCAGCCUGGGUCAGAAAUGCAGCUCAACAGUGGUGGAAACUGGUCAGUUAUGUCAGUUCCAUUUACUCCAUCAAAGGACACACACAGAGAGGUUAAGGAGCCCUCAAGGGCUACUCACCAUUCUUAGUCAUUAACAGACAUGUGUGAUCCUUGUUAUAACCUGAAAAUGGUCAUUACUACCUCUUUUUUUUUUAACUGAAAGAUGUUCCACACCCAGUUUCUUUCCAUUAAAACCUGGGAAAUCUCCCUGCAAAUUUCCCCCCAAAACACAUAUUUUAUCUUGAAAGCAAUUCUGCCUGUUUGCAUCUUUGUCUGUGUUUCAGAGAGCAGUCUCAUGCUCACUGAAUUAGUUCAAGUCUGGGGAGAGAAUGAAUUAGAGAGAGUCCUGGAGAAAGCCAACUUGUCCUUGUAUGUGGGGGCUGUCUUCAGCAACUACCUAGGUUACCAGCUAUCAUGAUCAUCAGGGAGAACAGAAGGUGAAAAUUGCUCACAGCAGUAAAAGCCUAUCAAACCCCAAGCCAGAUACCAGCUUUGACGUAGUUCUCGGGACUUUUUUAGACAGCUUUUAAAAAUGAAAUUUUAGAAGAGAUCACAAAAAUCAGACCAAAACAACAACAACAAAAAAGUACCUGUAGAAGUCCUUUAUUUGGUAGUAUUUAGUCCAGCGUGUAAAGUAGAAUAGUGACUAGUGGGAGUCUGGGACAUCUUUCCUAAACUCGAGGCAAACAAUAUAUCUUAGAAGUAUUGGUAGGAAGACUUCUCCUUUCAAGUAUGUAUUUAUGAGGACAGAAAUGAACUGCUUUCAAAAGAGCAAACAACAUUCCAAAACAACUCCUUUAGUACUGUCAUUAAUAGGAUUUUAUAGUAUGUAUGUAUAUGUGUGUGUGUGUGUGUGUGUGUAUCUAUGAUGCACAUAUGCAUGUGUGUAUUUACAUGCUACUUGAGCUAUUGGAAGAAUGCCUCCAAUGUGCAAUGUUUUGCACAAUGGCCGUGAGUGGCACAGACAUCUACUUUACAAUGAACAAUAUUCCCAAAAGAUAGGUUCUUCUCCGAUUUCAUGCCCCAUUUAUUUUGACCAUGAAAUGCAAAUGGUUUGAAGUUAAAGGGAAAUAAAAAUAAAGAAAAACAUAAUUAGUACA